rnacentral:rRNA from 2 species
UGGGGAAUAUUGCACAAUGGAGGGAACUCUGAUGCAGCGACGCCGCGUGAACGAAGAAGGCUUUCGAGUCGUAAAGUUCUUUUAUAUGGGAAGAUAAUGACGGUACCAUAAGAAAAAGCCCCGGCUAACUACGUGCCAGCAGCCGCGGUAAUACGUAGGGGGCUAGCGUUGUCCGGAAUCACUGGGCGUAAAGGGUUCGCAGGCGGAAAUGCAAGUCAGGUGUAAAGGGCAGUAGCUUAACUACUGUAAGCAUUUGAAACUGCAUAUCUUGAGAAGAGUAGAGGUAAGUGGAAUUUUUAGUGUAGCGGUGAAAUGCGUAGAUAUUAAAAAGAAUACCGGUGGCGAAGGCGACUUACUGGGCUCAUUCUGACGCUGAGGAACGAAAGCGUGGGUAGCAAACAGG